AUCAUGAGUUCACAUGUCCGCAUGAUUAAAGGUAUUUUCCGGUAGACGAUGGGGAUGCGUUCCAUUAGAUAGUAGGCGGGGUAACGGCCCACCUAGUCAACGAUGGAUAGGGGUUCUGAGAGGAAGGUCCCCCACAUUGGAACUGAGACACGGUCCAAACUCCUACGGGAGGCAGCAGUGAGGAAUAUUGGUCAAUGGGCGAUGGCCUGAACCAGCCAAGUAGCGUGAAGGAUGACUGCCCUAUGGGUUGUAAACUUCUUUUAUAAAGGAAUAAAGUCGGGUAUGCAUACCCGUUUGCAUGUACUUUAUGAAUAAGGAUCGGCUAACUCCGUGCCAGCAGCCGCGGUAAUACGGAGGAUCCGAGCGUUAUCCGGAUUUAUUGGGUUUAAAGGGAGCGUAGAUGGAUGUUUAAGUCAGUUGUGAAAGUUUGCGGCUCAACCGUAAAAUUGCAGUUGAUAUUGGAUGUCUUGAGUGCAGUUGAGGCAGGCGGAAUUCGUGGUGUAGCGGUGAAAUGCUUAGAUAUCACGAAGAACUCCGAUUG
rnacentral:rRNA from 1 species